GAUGAAGAACGCAGCGAAAUGCGAUAAGUAAUGCGAAUUGCAGAAUCCGUGAGUCAUCGAAUCUUUGAACGCACAUUGCGCCCUCUGGUAUUCCGGAGGGCAUGCCUGUUCGAGCGUCAUUAUCACCCCUCAAGCCCGGCUUGUUGUUGGAUGCAGCGCCCAUCCCGCUCCUCCCAAAGAUAAUGACGGCGUCUGCGACGACUCCUGUACACUGAGCUUUCGGGCACGUACACGGCUAGAAGUCCAGACCCGGUCGCCGUCCCCCCCACGGGACACCCAUUACCACAAGGUUGACCUCGGAUCAGGUAGGAAUACCCGCUGAACUUAAGCAUAUCAAUAAGCGGAGGA
rnacentral:misc_RNA from 1 species